rnacentral:rRNA from 1 species
AUACGGGGGGGGCAAGCGUUGUUCGGAAUUACUGGGCGUAAAGGGCGCGUAGGCGGACCAGACAGUCUUUCGUGAAAUCCCACGGCUCAACCGUGGAACUGCGGGAGAUACUACUGGCCUUGAGUUCGGGAGAGGAGUGUGGAAUUCCCAGUGUAGCGGUGAAAUGCGUAGAUAUUGGGAGGAACACCGGUGGCGAAGGCGGCACUCUGGACCGAUACUGACGCUGAGGCGCGAAAGCUAGGGGAGCAAACGGGAUUAGAUACCCCGGUAGUCC